rnacentral:tRNA from 1 species
GGCAGAAUGGCAGAGUGGAUAGAAAGCUAGCCUUGAAGUCAUGAAGAUAUGGGUUCAAGUCCCAUUUCUGUUG